rnacentral:rRNA from 1 species
UACGUAGGUGGCAAGCGUUAUCCGGAAUUAUUGGGCGUAAAGCGCGCGCAGGCGGUGUUUUAAGUCUGAUGUGAAAGCUUGCGGCUCAACCGUGAAGGGUCAUUGGAAACUGGAAAACUUGAGUGCAGAAGAGGAGAGUGGAAUUCCAUGUGUAGCGGUGAAAUGCGCAGAGAUAUGGAGGAACACCAGUGGCGAAGGCGACUUUCUGGUCUGUAACUGACGCUGAGGUGCGAAAGCGUGGGGAUCAAACAGG